CGUUCUUAGUUCGUGGAGUGAUCUGUCUGCUUAAUUGCGUUUCAAAAUUUAACUUGAGGACCGGGUUUUGGUUUGGCUAGUGGUUCUACGAUGACUGUGAACUGUCAUGUCUUCGGAUGUGCGACUAUUGGUCUAGGAUCACAUGACUUGCCCCUGGGACUCUUUUGAACGCAACGGACGUGAUUGCAACCCCUUGUUGAGAUUAGAGAUAGUCUCGAUAUUCACUGGACAAACUGGCUGCUUUAUGCAGUCUUGUUGAAUGGUGGAUAAACUCGGGGGACUGCUGACUAUAACCAUUUCUCAAAACAGAGGAAGGUUGCGGCAAUAACAGGUCUGUGAUGCCCUCAGAUGUCCCGGGCUGCACACGUGCUACAAUGAGUGGCGCAAUGUGCUAAUGUUUAAGGGAUAAGAGUGUGGUCAGUAGAACGUCGGGAUUUCCCCUGACGUCUCCCCCGCACGAUUAUCAGCCUUCCCUUAACAGGGCGGGCAACCUUUUCAAAAUACUGGUUUGAUGUUAAAGUAUUGAGUCGUUUUUUUUGGAUGGUGGUUUGUUAACCAAUACCAUCCGGCAACUGCUCGCGAGUUUGUGGUUCUGGCGACUCAUGG
rnacentral:rRNA from 1 species